CACGUAGGGUGCAAGCGUUGUCCGGAAUUAUUGGGCGUAAAGAGCUCGUAGGCGGUUUGUCGCGUCUGCUGUGAAAUCCCGAGGCUCAACCUCGGGCCUGCAGUGGGUACGGGCAGACUGGAGUGCGGUAGGGGAGAAUGGAAUUCCUGGUGUAGCGGUGGAAUGCGCAGAUAUCAGGAGGAACACCGAUGGCGAAGGCAGUUCUCUGGGCCGUAACUGACGCUGAGGAGCGAAAGCGUGGGGAGCGAACAGG
rnacentral:rRNA from 1 species